ACGGGGGGGACGAGCGUUGUUCGGAUUUACUGGGCGUAAAGGGCGCGUAGGCGGGCCUUCAAGUCAGAUGUGAAAACUCCGGGCUUAACUCGGAGCCUGCAUUUGAUACUGUAGGUCUUGAGUACAGGAGAGGAGAGUGGAAUUCCAGGUGUAGCGGUGAAAUGCGUAGAUAUCUGGAAGAACACCAGUAGCGAAGGCGGCUCUCUGGACUGAUACUGACGCUCAAGCGCGAAGGCUUGGGGAGCAAACA
rnacentral:rRNA from 1 species